GACGAACGCUGGCGGCGUGCCUAAUACAUGCAAGUCGAACGCUGAAGAGAGGAGCUUACUCUUCUUGGAUGAGUUGCGAACGGGUGAGUAACGCGUAGGUAACCUGCCUUGUAGCGGGGGAUAACUAUUGGAAACGAUAGCUAAUACCGCAUAACAAUGGAUGACACAUGUCAUUUAUUUGAAAGGGGCAAUUGCUCCACUACAAGAUGGACCUGCGUUGUAUUAGCUAGUAGGUGAGGUAAUGGCUCACCUAGGCGACGAUACAUAGCCGACCUGAGAGGGUGAUCGGCCACACUGGGACUGAGACACGGCCCAGACUCCUACGGGAGGCAGCAGUAGGGAAUCUUCGGCAAUGGGGGCAACCCUGACCGAGCAACGCCGCGGGAGUGAAGAAGGUUUUCGGAUCGUAAAGCUCUGUUGUAAGUCAAGAACGGGUGUGAGAGUGGAAAGUUCACACUGUGACGGUAGCUUACCAGAAAGGGACGGCUAACUACGUG
rnacentral:rRNA from 1 species